GACGAACGCUGGCGGCGUGCUUAACACAUGCAAGUCGAACGAUGAUGCCAGCUUGCUGGUGGAUUAGUGGCGAACGGGUGAGUAACACGUGAGCAACCUGCCCCUGACUUCGGGAUAACCGCGGGAAACCGUGGCUAAUACCGGAUAUGACGCGCUAUCGCAUGGUGGUGUGUGGAAAGAUUUAUCGGUUGGGGAUGGGCUCGCGGCCUAUCAGCUUGUUGGUGGGGUGAUGGCCUACCAAGGCGACGACGGGUAGCCGGCCUGAGAGGGUGACCGGCCACACUGGGACUGAGACACGGCCCAGACUCCUACGGGAGGCAGCAGUGGGGAAUAUUGCACAAUGGGCGCAAGCCUGAUGCAGCGACGCCGCGUGAGGGAUGACGGCCUUCGGGUUGUAAACCUCUUUCAGUAGGGAAGAAGGCCUUCGGGUUGACGGUACCUGCAGAAGAAGCGCCGGCUAACUACGU
rnacentral:rRNA from 1 species